AUUUUGCUAUGAGGAACUGAAGUUUUAAUGGUGAUGUCAGAUGGAGAAUAUGUCUCCUUUUGCUUAAAGGUUUCACUCUUACAACCAUGGAAGAUUCUAUGCUCAGCUUCCGGCGAGACUAACAGUGACAGAGGAAUCACAAAUACAGCUCAGAAUGACUCCUCCUAGGUGGGCAGGGAUUGAAAGGAAGAAAGUGUGAUAUCGUCGUGCGCCUGUCUUCCUUUCUGCCCUCAUUCCAGGCUUUCUAUUCCGUGAGUGCAAAAGGAAACAGGAUGCACCUGAAUUACUGAACAGUACAAGGGAAUUUAAUUAAGAAUAUACACAUUAGAAUUUCAGUGGGAUUGCCUAUUUAAUGUUACUUUAUUAAGCCUUCUAUCAAACCCUUUUUUAUGUAUAUCAGUUGAUAUACAAUUAAUCUGUUCUCUUGUGAGAAAAAAAAAUAGCACCUGAGGUGAAUGAAAAGUGUCAGAUGAGAAUAAUUAUAAGCAGCUGUUCACUUGGAGCACCUCUGGCCUACAUGGGGGAUGCUGUGAGCUACCACUCCUCGCAACAGCCCACCUCAUUAGACUUGACCUUCCCAGCUGGGGAUUUCAUUUGUGCUUUUUUAAUGGGUUUGUAUACGGCAAAUCACAACACCUUAUGAAGAUGGAGUCUUUGUAGCUGUAACAAAAGGGAGCAUGCGAGUUUACAAAAAAGCUACCGCUCCCGCUGACUGGCAGGGUACCCGCCAUAAUGCAGGUAACUUUUCAGCCACUGGCUGGGGCAAGGCGUACCAUCCCGAUGCCUUAGGUGAGAUAAAUGCGUUUCCUUGGCUUUGAAGCGCCUCUGGUCCGUGCAGCCACCAGCAGUACAAAAAUAAUUGCGAGUCCUGAUCGCACUUUGGAGCCUAAUGACAGCCCACUUAAAACCAGAUCUCCAAACCCACAGAAGCCCCAAUUUCCAGCAACAGUGCAUCUCCACGCGUGGUGCCUUUCCGAAGGCAGCCCAGGACAAGAGGACAGCAACGGCAGAUCAGACGCCAGCAUGGGCGUAGAUGAUAGAUACAGAGGUAGGGGGAGUCUCCAGGAAAACAUCUCUGGUUUUCUUUUCUCCUUUCCAUUUAUGUUUGUAAUAAACUCACUCUCAUACAAUUAGCCUCAAUUGUUUUUAUAUCUUCGGAGGCAAUAAUACAGGCAGCCUGGGGAAUACAGUAGUAAUCCGUAUACCUGUGUUCAUUUACCCAAAUCACUAUGGUUACAGCCAGGGCAAACUGUUUACGGUGAGAAUCCGAGAGCCUCUUUCCAGCUACUAAUGACCUUUCUGUUCCUCCAAUAACAUCAACAAACCAGGGAGGCUGCCCAUGCCAUUAAAGCCAAUUGCCUCUCCAGUUACUGAGGGACUUGAGCGUUUCCUCAUUUAUUUUCUCUCAUCUGAUGUAACUCACAUGCCACUUUCUUGUCUUUAAAGAAGGGGAAAAACUGUGGAUUAUUGAUUUGCUUCUGAACAGAAGACCAACCUAAAAGCCCCGAUGAAUUGUCACUCAUUAUUGAAAUUACUGAACACUAAUUAAACUGGCAGCUCAAAUCCCAGCAGGCCACACUCAUCUGAAGCUGAAAUUCAGACACUUGGGCAGUGGAAGAGAGAGAGUGCUAGCAACCACCGGGAUUGUAAUAAGCUUUGCAUUAAUUUUUGCUUCUUAAAGGUACACAGCCCUGUUUGUGGUGGCCCAGCCGGCAGUGGCACACAUGCGGGGAAACAGGCAAGGCCCCUGUCCGGUUCUUUGGAGAAAUCACUGAUUCAGAUCCCUUGCAGAAUUUCUCAGUGAGACUCAGCCCUGUGCCCCCGGUGAAGUCACAGUCCACACCCUGAGAUGCCUGCUGUGACAGCGGCAGGAGCCGCUGGCUGACAUAAGGAAAGCUGGCCCUUCGGAUGGCUGCUCGAGGGGAAACUGAGUCAGGCUGGCUGGAAAGCAGCCAUGCAGGCUUCCCUGGAAAUGACCCAGGCCAAACAGCCUUUCCAAUUCAUCAAGUCUGAUUUACUGUCUAAAAUAUGCCUUGGCCUAUUUUCACGGCUGCACAAACUCCACGUAAAUUAUGCAUGAUUAUGGUUAAUCCAACCUCCUUUGGCUCUGCCUAAGUAGUAGCCCCUCAUUUGCUCAGCUUCAAAGGGGACUGGUUGAUGGGAAGGGACUGGUUCAAGGCUGGAGUUGAGAGUGAAUCUCCUGCAGUCACAGGAAAAAGCAGAGCAAACUGGGCCUUGAAAAGGCCCCUAUUCUGAGUCAAGACAUGUAUGGGGAGGAAAUGGUGGGUGGUGAUCUCUUGGCCAGGCACCUUCAGAUAAGGGUUCUUUGUCCGGGUUAUCACUUUCUUUUUAAAGAGGUGUUUUUAAAAGCAGAGAUUUACAAAGCUUCUAGCAGCUUUAUCUGUAAAGGCCCAGACUGGAAACAACCCACUGUCCAUCGACAGGUGACUGGAUAAGCAGAUGGUGGUACAUCCAUGCAAGGGACUACUACUCGGCAAUGAAAAGAAAUGGGCCAUUGACACACACACAGAGCAGUUGUUCUCUUUUAAAAUGGGGUGGUUGGAACCAUCACUUACACUUGUCCUAGUCAGACUGCUUUCCUCCACCUCAGGAAAGAAUGCACAUUUUUAAAAAGGCUAACAUGAUGGAGAUGGAGAGGGAGAAGGAAUGGUAGAGCCAGAGCUUGUUGAGAGAGGGCCCUGGGGUUGGGGGGUGCACAGGUCCUGGGGGAUCCUUGACAGGGCGUGUCGCCUGCAGGAGACAACACAAGCCAUGCACCAUGUUAAAACCGUGUCCUGCUUUGGAAAUUUUAAACUGUUAGACUUCCUGAGUCUCUGUCAAAAGCUGAUUCGAAUUUCCCUCCCUGUUGUUCUCACAGCAGAGUUGAGGCAUGGAACGCACAUGGGUUGACAGCCACGCUGAGGACGCAGCUCAGCCUUGUGGCUGACCCUCAGCCCGGGAGCUCCAGAUGGGCAUUUCCUGGUUCCUGGAGGAGCCGCACUCACAGGCAACUGGACACCGGCCUUCUUGGUGCUUCCCUUUCUCAGAGAGCAACAAACAAUGCAACGGCAAAGCUCUGCAGACACCCCGGAAGCAACACUGCUCCCUGCUGUGGGAAAAGGCUGUGGCAAUGUUGGGCUUCACACCUACCAGGGUCAGCCCCCGGACUGCACAGAUGUCAGCCUGUGGGAGGCUUGGCUAUUCUGAGAGCCUGGGCACAAGCUUGUGGUGACUACAGUCCUGGGCCCUGGAGGGCCACAGCUGUCAACUGUAGGAACUUUACUUGAACUCUUCCUUCCCCACAUCCUCAUCUCUACAUUUCUGGUAAUAAUGUUACCCGAAAGGGUAAAUGAAACCAACUAUCUGAAACCGACAGCAAGGUGCCUGGCACGUGGUAAAUGCUUAAUAAAACUUUCGGUUUCCUGAACCUCGACCCUGGGAUUUUUGUCUGCCU
rnacentral:lncRNA from 1 species